CAGAAGCUGCUGAUCUCCUGGGGUUUUCACACACAACAGUCUCUAGAGUUUACACAGAAUGGUGCAGAAAACAACAAACACUGAGUGAGUGAGCGACAGUUCUGUGGGUGGAAACAAACACCCUGUUGAUAAGAGAGGGUCAGAGGGAAAUGGACAGAUUGGUUUGAGCUUUUUUGCCAGGAAGGAUAUAGUAACUCAUAUAAUCACUCUUUACAACUGUGGUGAGCAGCAAAGCAUCUCAGCAUGCAACAGCAGAAGAACACAUUGAGUUCCACUCCUGCAGCCAAGAACAGGGAUCUUAGAACCAACAACGAGUUCCUAUUAAAGUGGCCGGGGAGUACAGCACUGUGCAACAUGGAGCUGUGGCAGCUGCAGACAGGAGAAAUGAAGGCCGUCCUUUCCAUCAGUGGAUGUUUGGUGAAGAUGAAUGAGAAGCAGACCUGACCGAAGAACCGAAUCUCCACCCCACACACACACACACACACACGGAGAGGAGAACUUUCUCCUCCACAGAACUCCAUCAUGCUCCUCUCACCCUCUUCAGGUCGAAGUUCUUCUGUGGCUGGACAUCAGCGUGGACCUCCAUCAGGAACACGACGGUCAGGGUGAUGCUCACCAGCGUGACCUUCAUCAUGGCUCUCCAGCAGGAAAAAAAAAACCAGACUGAACAAAAACAGCUGGAGCAAGCUGGUGCUGGAACACAGAGCUCCGCCCACUCAGGGAACCAGCCAAUCAGAGAUGGGGAUGGGCUCAAACAAAGUCACUUUUCAUGGGAAGAUGAGUUAGUGUGGAAAAAUAAGGCGAGCUGUGUGCUUACAUACACGUGAGUGCAGAAGUUUGUGCACCCCAAGACAAAAUGAAGAACUUUUUGUUUCUGCAAAUUAAAGUUGAGUUUUUAUUCCUUUAUUAUUACAAACAACAAAAACAUUCAGUGAUGAAACAAAACUUUUAAAUGAAGACAAAGCUCUCAUUUUCUCUUUGUUUCGUGAUUUUCUGUUUUUAGGUCCUUUUCUUUCUUUUAUAAAAAGUCUAAACAUAAAAGAAAUAAAACAAAUGAAAAAGGAAUAAAAAUACAAA